rnacentral:rRNA from 1 species
UACAGAGGUGGCAAGCGUUGUUCGGAAUUACUGGGCGUAAAGGGCGCGUAGGCGGUUCGUUAAGUCCUGUGUGAAAUCCCCCGGCUCAACUGGGGAACUGCACAGGAAACUAGCGGGCUUGAGUUCGGGAGAGGGAAGCGGAAUUCCGGGCGUAGCGGUGAAAUGCGUAGAUAUCCGGAGGAACACCGGUGGCGAAGGCGGCUUCCUGGACCGACACUGACGCUGAGGCGCGAAAGCUAGGGGAGCAAACGGG